GCAGACCACUCCUAGGGAGGCAGCAGUGGGGAAUUUUUGGACAAUGGGCGAAAGCCUGAUCCAGCAAUGCCGCGUGAGUGAAGAAGGCCUUCGGGUUGUAAAGCUCUUUGUCAGGGAAGAAACGGUGAGAGCUAAUAUCUCUUGCUAAUGACGGUACCUGAAGAAUAAGCACCGGCUAACUACGUGCCAGCAGCCGCGGUAAUACGUAGGGUGCAAGCGUUAAUCGGAAUUACUGGGCGUAAAGCGUGCGCAGGCGGUUUUGUAAGUCUGAUGUGAAAUCCCCGGGCUCAACCUGGGAAUUGCAUUGGAGACUGCAAGGCUAGAAUCUGGCAGAGGGGGUAGAAUUCCACGUGUAGCAGUGAAAUGCGUAGAUAUGUGGAGGAACACCGAUGGCGAAGGCAGCCCCCUGGGUCAAGAUUGACGCUCAUGCACGAAAGCGUGGGGAGCAAACAGGAUUAUAUACCCUGGUAG
rnacentral:rRNA from 1 species